GAGCUUGCUCUUAUGAAGUUAGCGGCGGACGGGUGAGUAACACGUGGGUAACCUGCCCAUAAGACUGGGAUAACUCCGGGAAACCGGGGCUAAUACCGGAUAACAUUUUGAACCGCAUGGUUCGAAAUUGAAAGGCGGCUUCGGCUGUCACUUAUGGAUGGACCCGCGUCGCAUUAGCUAGUUGGUGAGGUAACGGCUCACCAAGGCAACGAUGCGUAGCCGACCUGAGAGGGUGAUCGGCCACACUGGGACUGAGACACGGCCCAGACUCCUACGGGAGGCAGCAGUAGGGAAUCUUCCGCAAUGGACGAAAGUCUGACGGAGCAACGCCGCGUGAGUGAUGAAGGCUUUCGGGUCGUAAAACUCUGUUGUUAGGGAAGAACAAGUGCUAGUUGAAUAAGCUGGCACCUUGACGGUACCUAACCAGAAAGCCACGGCUAACUACGUGCCAGCAGCCGCGGUAAUACGUAGGUGGCAAGCGUUAUCCGGAAUUAUUGGGCGUAAAGCGCGCGCAGGUGGUUUCUUAAGUCUGAUGUGAAAGCCCACGGCUCAACCGUGGAGGGUCAUUGGAAACUGGGAGACUUGAGUGCAGAAGA
rnacentral:rRNA from 1 species